CCUACGGGGGACAGCAGUGGGGAAUAUUGCACAAUGGGGGAAACCCUGAUGCAGCGACGCCGCGUGAGUGAAGAAGUCAUUCGUUAUGUAAAGCUCUAUCAGCAGGGAAGAAAAUGACGGUACCUGAGUAAGCAGCCCCGGCUAACUACGUGCCAGCCGCCGCGGUCAUACGUAGGGGGCAAGCGUUAUCCGGAUUUACUGGGUGUAAAGGGAGCGUAGACGGCAGUGCAAGUCUGGAGUGAAAGGCGGGGGCUCAACCCCCGGACUGCUCUGGAAACUGUACGGCUGGAGUGCAGGAGAGGUAAGUGGAAUUCCUAGUGUAGCGGUGAAAUGCGUAGAUAUUAGGAGGAACACCAGUGGCGAAGGCGGCUUACUGGACUGUAACUGACGUUGAGGCUCGAAAGCGUGGGGAGCAAACAGGAUUAGAUACCCUUGUAGUC
rnacentral:rRNA from 1 species